rnacentral:lncRNA from 12 species
CUAGAUUUUGUGUCCCAAUCUUUCUGAAUUUAAAAAUCUAGGUAUAUUGUCUCUGUGUCUUUGAAACUCCUGGAAACAGUGCUCCUUUGAGAAUAUGCUUGACAGAGUCCUGUGGCCUGAAUCCAUGGGGAUCUAGACAAAGCUGGAUAAGCUGGGAUUCCCUGAGCUCUUGUCAGCUUCCCAAGUCAGAGUUGAUGCUGAAAGUUCUGCAUAGGGCAUGGGUGUAAUGUGAAUAAAUACCCAGAGGCUUGGGAGGUAGAGUGAAAAUAUUUGGAGCCGGCAAGUCUGGUCAAUUAAUAUGUGCUUGUGAGGCAUUUUCAAAGCUGAAAGAUCUCUUGUAAGUGCCAAGUGAUAUUAAUUAUUAGUAUGAGGGCAGGUCCUGCCAGCAGAGUAAGAUGCCCAGAUUUACGUGUGUGCAUGUGAGUCAUCUGCUGGUGAUGCCCUGCAUGCCGACCCUCCAGUUCUGAGGGCAAAAUUUAGUAAAUGAGUGCCCUUAGGGAGGGAGGCAAUAAAACCUACAGCCUCCUUCACACAGUGUAGGGACCUGCUCUUGCAGGGGAGAGUCGCUCUCAGCCAUACUGGAGUCCUGCUCAGAAGCUUCCAAACUGGACCUUGACCCUUUGACCAUCCCAGAAAGCCAUCCUUAUUCCCUGUUUAAUUCUGUCAGGAAACACUUGAUGGAGGAAAUGGCAGCUCUAAUAUUCGUCAUUGGUAAGUUGUGCCCUUCCAGAGGUCACAAUUUCUAUUCUGACUGAAGCCUUCUGUGCCUUAAAUGAGAAGCAGCAAUUUCUAGGUUGAGGGAAACAAAUGUGUAGACUGUAUACUUGGGGAGAGGGGAACAGGUGGCACUACAGAGCUAUUUUAUAGGCAGCCUCCUACCUCAUCUAUGGGCACAGAAAGACAGAGGAGAAUCUUAUCGUAUAAUCUUUAUGGGAAGGUAGGAUUUUAGUAUCAAGGAGAUCCUACACCAAUGUUCCAGGUAAUGUGCAAUGUCCUUUAUGCAAUGCCCCUGACAAAGGAGCAUCAAGCUUCUAUUUGAAUACCUCUAGUGGUGGGGACUUACUAUUUUAAGAAGCUGGCUGUUAUUAUCUGGUGCUUCUUAUAUGAGGCACAUUCAUAGAGCCCAUGGAAUGCUGGGAGAAUCUCAAAUCAUUUGGGGAAAAAGCAGUGCUCUGUAUUUGCCCUCCAGACAGAUGACUUUCCAGGCAGGGUCAU